rnacentral:lncRNA from 1 species
GGCAUAGGAUGACCUUGUACUCAGGCAAUAUACAAUACAAUCAACUCCAACAAUUAAUUCUAGAAUAGUUUCCCAUUGAUAGGAAUGUAGGAAACGUACACUGGCAUCAUUAUCAUGGACAUUUCUCUUUGUUUUUAUUGUAGUCAAUACAGUGUUGAAUUCAGUUGCUCACCUUGGAAGAGAGUGUGAGGAAGUUUGACUAUCCUUUAGUUUUAUCUUUAUCACCAAAAUGACAGGACCCAAAAUCCGUCUUCCUCCAACUGAGGUCAGGUUUUUGCCGUGGAGCAGGGCGGCAACCAGCACGUCUUUGUGAAGAUGAUCUCCUUUAUCUGAAAACAAAGGAACAACUUGAUAGAAUGCCGGUUUAUCAGGGAAGAUGAAUUUAAUUACUUGCCAACGUGAAGCUUCUCCCCAGCUCCUGUCGGAGAUGCGCUUAUGACCACUUCUGGUUUGGCAGUGCCUGAUUGAAAUCAAUUUUUGCUUAAAUAAACUCUUAAAAUUUUUAACAUGCCUCAGUUUAUUUUUUA